AGGGUUCGAUUAUGGCUCAGAUUGAACGCUGGCGGCAGGCCUAACACAUGCAAGUCGAGCGGUAGAGAGAAGCUUGCUUCUCUUGAGAGCGGCGGACGGGUGAGUAAUGCCUAGGAAUCUGCCUGGUAGUGGGGGAUAACGUUCGGAAACGGACGCUAAUACCGCAUACGUCCUACGGGAGAAAGCAGGGGACCUUCGGGCCUUGCGCUAUCAGAUGAGCCUAGGUCGGAUUAGCUAGUUGGUGAGGUAAUGGCUCACCAAGGCGACGAUCCGUAACUGGUCUGAGAGGAUGAUCAGUCACACUGGAACUGAGACACGGUCCAGACUCCUACGGGAGGCAGCAGUGGGGAAUAUUGGACAAUGGGCGAAAGCCUGAUCCAGCCAUGCCGCGUGUGUGAAGAAGGUCUUCGGAUUGUAAAGCACUUUAAGUUGGGAGGAAGGGCAGUUGCCUAAUACGUAACUGUUUUGACGUUACCGACAGAAUAAGCACCGGCUAACUCUGUGCCAGCAGCCGCGGUAAUACAGAGGGUGCAAGCGUUAAUCGGAAUUACUGGGCGUAAAGCGCGCGUAGGUGGUUUGUUAAGUUGGAUGUGAAAUCCCCGGGCUCAACCUGGGAACUGCAUUCAAAACUGACUGACUAGAGUAUGGUAGAGGGUGGUGGAAUUUCCUGUGUAGCGGUGAAAUGCGUANAUAUAGGAAGGAACACCAGUGGCGAAG
rnacentral:rRNA from 1 species